rnacentral:rRNA from 1 species
AAGGUGCUGCAUGGUUGUCGUCAGCUCGUGCCGUGAGGUGUCGGGUUAAGUCCCAUAACGAGCGCAACCCUUAUCGUUAGUUGCCAUCUGGUAAUGCAGGGGACUCUAGCGAAACUGCCACGUAAGGUGAGAGGAAGUGGGGAUGACGUCAAAUCAGCACGGCCCUUAUGUCCAGGGCUACACACGUGUUACAAUGGUCGGUACAGAGGGCAGCUACCUGGUGACAGGAUGCUAAUCUCGAAAACCGGUCUCAGUUCGGAUCGAAGUCUGCAACUCGACUUCGUGAAGCUGGAUUCGCUAGUAAUCGCGCAUCAGCUAUGGCGCGGUGAAUACGUUCCCGGGCCUU